AUAUGAGUUGGUACGUUGGCAUUGUUAAGAAUAUUCCAAGUGCCAGUUUGCAGUGAUAAUUUGCAUGUAGAGAAUAAUGUUCCGAACCAGACCGUACAGAAUCGUGAUGCCGUACUUUCAGACCAACUAUUUUAAUGGAGACAGAUGCACCUUCAGACAAUAAACGUCCUUUUGAAACACGAGACCCGGUCGGUCCUUUUGAAACUCAAGACAAAUAAUAUUUGUUUUCGAAGAAACUUUUCGAGACUACGCGUACGCUCGAUGCACACAAAAUUAGACGCUAGCUGGCUUAUUAGUAACUGUUUAUUUGGCGUACAAAGUUACAGAAACGGAUAUUUUUGUUACUUUUUUUAUGAUUUAUGACCAAUCUACUCUCGUUGGGCAAUCGGAUUACGCUAAUGUAAAAAGUCGACCACUCGGAACGAAUACUUUUUCAUCAUUUAGAGCGAUUCCGUGUUGUUUAAGUGUGAAAUUUUUUUGCUUUGGUCACGUGACGUGCCAAAAUGGUUCCGGGAACUGACCCUAUUCCCCCUGGCGAGGUGAAUGAUUGGAAACGUGUCCAUCUUGCAGUCGAAUCAAUCACUAAGCACCAGGGAACUCCCGGUGGGUUCACCUACUUCUCUUUCAGACUAGAUUCACUAAACUUUCCAUUUAAUCUGCUCGAUUUUCUCAAAUUUCACUUACAAAUCAGUAAGCCCCGUUCCUCUACAGAUUUACAACCGUUAUAUUUUACCACGCUAAUCGCGUGAUUUCUCUCUUUCUCUCUCUACUCUACACGAAAAAAUAAUAAUAAUAAGUAAAUAAAUAAGCUAGAAAAACAUAUUCCCAGCACGAGUCUUCAAGGUUGCACCCGAGAAGUUGGCCUAGUCUUCAAGGAUAAAAUUAUAAUAAAAGAUUAACGAAUGCGAAAAAUUAUGCGAAAGUUCAGAACCUAUAACAGCGCGGGUCAACCCAUCUGCGAAAGUUAUCGGCAUAAAUUUUGACUUUUUAAUACUUAAAAUAAGUUAUAACAAAGUUUAGAAAGAUUUUAAAGAUAUGGU
rnacentral:lncRNA from 1 species